CGUGGAGCCGACCUUGAAAUACCACCCUUUAAUGUUUGAUGUUCUAACGUGGACCCGUUACCCGGGUUGCGGACAGUGUCUGGUGGGUAGUUUGACUGGGGCGGUCUCCUCCUAAAGAGUAACGGAGGAGCACGAAGGUUGGCUAAUCCUGGUCGGACAUCAGGAGGUUAGUGCAAUGGCAUAAGCCAGCUUGACUGCGAGCGUGACGGCGCGAGCAGGUGCGAAAGCAGGUCAUAGUGAUCCGGUGGUUCUGAAUGGAAGGGCCAUCGCUCAACGGAUAAAAGGUACUCCGGGGAUAACAGGCUGAUACCGCCCAAGAGUUCAUAUCGACGGCGGUGUUUGGCACCUCGAUGUCGGCUCAUCACAUCCUGGGGCUGAAGUAGGUCCCAAGGGUAUGGCUGUUCGCCAUUUAAAGUGGUACGCGAGCUGGGUUUAGAACGUCGUGAGACAGUUCGGUCCCUAUCUGCCGUGGGCGCUGGAGAACUGAGGGGGGCUGCUCCUAGUACGAGAGGACCGGAGUGGACGCAUCACUGGUGUUCGGGUUGUCAUGCCAAUGGCACUGCCCGGUAGCUAAAUGCGGAAGAGAUAAGUGCUGAAAGCAUCUAAGCACGAAACUUGCCCCGA
rnacentral:rRNA from 1 species